rnacentral:rRNA from 1 species
UUAAUUGAAGAGUUUGAUCAUGGCUCAGAUUGAACGCUGGCGGCAGGCCUAACACAUGCAAGUCGAGCGGCAGCACAGGGGAACUUGUUCCUUGGGUGGCGAGCGGCGGACGGGUGAGUAAUGCCUGGGAAAUUGCCCGGUAGAGGGGGAUAACCAUUGGAAACGAUGGCUAAUACCGC